GAGCGGUAGAGAGAAGCUUGCUUCUCUUGAGAGCGGCGGACGGGUGAGUAAUGCCUAGGAAUCUGCCUGGUAGUGGGGGAUAACGUUCGGAAACGGACGCUAAUACCGCAUACGUCCUACGGGAGAAAGCAGGGGACCUUCGGGCCUUGCGCUAUCAGAUGAGCCUAGGUCGGAUUAGCUAGUUGGUGGGGUAAUGGCUCACCAAGGCGACGAUCCGUAACUGGUCUGAGAGGAUGAUCAGUCACACUGGAACUGAGACACGGUCCAGACUCCUACGGGAGGCAGCAGUGGGGAAUAUUGGACAAUGGGCGAAAGCCUGAUCCAGCCAUGCCGCGUGUGUGAAGAAGGUCUUCAGAUUGUAAAGCACUUUAAGUUGGGAGGAAGGGUUGUAGAUUAAUACUCUGCAAUUUUGACGUUACCGACAGAAUAAGCACCGGCUAACUCUGUG
rnacentral:rRNA from 1 species